rnacentral:tRNA from 1 species
GAGGCCAUAGCUCAGUUGGUUAGAGCGCUUGCCUUUUAAGCAAGAUGUCGUGAGUUCAAGUCUCACUGGCCUCA